rnacentral:rRNA from 1 species
UACGGAGGGUGCGAGCGUUGUCCGGAAUCACUGGGCGUAAAGGGCGCGUAGGCGGCGCGGGCAGUCAACGGUGAAAGCUCGGAGCUCAACUCCGAGUCGGCCGUCGAUACUCCCGUGCUUGAGCACUGUAGAGGCAGAUGGAAUUCCGGGUGUAGCGGUGGAAUGCGUAGAGAUCCGGAAGAACACCGGUGGCGAAGGCGGCCUGCUGGGCAGUAGCUGACGCUGAGGCGCGACAGCGUGGGGAGCAAACAGG